UAAAUAGAUGUUUUAUGAAUUUCUGCUUCAGCAAUCCAUAUCCCUUAGAAAAAGUGCGAUGUCAAAAAUGUCUUGAAAUGGGUCAUUGGAGUUAUGAUUGUAAAGGAAAAAGAAAAUAUCUGUAUCGUACAUCUCGAACAGUUCAUUUGAAGAAAGCUAUUGAAUCAAAUAAAAUGACUAUGAAGUAAAAUUAACUCUAUAGACGAAUCAAUAAGAAAUAAAUCAAAAGCUCAGAAUGUUGAUAUAAACAGUCACAAUAUUAACAUCAGUGGUAACAACAGGAACGAAAAUAUCAGUAAUAGUAGCAGUUGUUUAGAUAGUGAGUCAUCUAAUUCUAAAAGUAUUUUAACUAGUAAUACUAGUUGUAUUGAUUCUAGCAGUACUAAUGAGCUUUUAAAUAAUUAAAAUAAAAAUAAACAAAAA